CACGUAGGAGGCAAACGUUAUCCGGAUUUACUGGGCGUAAAGAGCUCGUAGGUGGUUUGUCACGUCGUCUGUGAAAUUCCGGGGCUUAACCUCGGGCGUGCAGGCGAUACGGGCAAUACUUGAGUGCUGUAGGGGAGACUGGAAUUCCUGGUGUAGCGGUGAAAUGCGCAGAUAUCAGGAGGAACACCAAUGGCGAAGGCAGGUCUCUGGGCAGUUACUGACGCUGAGGAGCGAAAGCAUGGGUAGCGAACAGGAUUAGAUACCCG
rnacentral:rRNA from 1 species